GAAAAGGGAUACAAAAUAUACUGGGAGCGAAGAGAGAGAGAGAAAACAGCUCCCCCUUCCCUUCUCCAACAGGAAAAACCGGCGGAAACGCGCCUGCACCAGAGCACUGCUGGGCUGAACAAUCCCAGCUCUCUCAACCUCUCCUCAGAUGUCAGAUGCACCAGUCUCUUCAUCAUCUUCAUGGCCCUUCACUGACUUACUGCAGAAAGUUCCUGUCUAUGUUGUACUGGGAAGCUCAAAACUGGACCCAGCACCCUGAUGUGUCUGUCUACAAGUGCUGAACAGAUGGAAAUAAUCACCUCCCUCGACCUUCUGGUAGAUGGAGCAUUUUAAGCAUUCUUCUAAGGACCCUGCUGGAGCCACUGUGGUUGUCAGGAGCCACCACCACCCUUGCCUGGACUGUGUGAUUUUCCAUGCUAAUCUGGAGGAUGCUCUCUGGUCUGGUUUUGAAGUGGUACUGUGAACAGUACAAUCAAGUUUUCGGCCUCUCAAAGAUCUUUGAGACAGAUAAAGAUGGAGCACUUAUUCUCGUGGAGAUCCUCAGGGAACAACUGCAGAAUGCAAAGGAUCAAUGGCCAUGACAUAAAAUAAUUUCUGCUCUCUGAAACACAUUCCUUUGCCCUGGGAGUGGGUCACAUAUGGAGCCAAGCUGUGCAUUAUCUAAAGCACAGGAUUAGCCAAACGAAUAUAGCAUACAAGUAAUUUUUGGUUUCACUGAGACAACACUGUAGCAGGUUGACCCUGCAUGCCAGGGACCCACUAAAGCCACUCUCUCACUCUCCCUUUGUAACAGGACAGAGGAGAAUAAAAAAAAACAGCUAAGGAUUCAUGAGUUGAGAUAGCAACUGGGAGAGGUCAGUUACUGAUUACCUUCCUGGGCAAAACAGACUCAAAGUGGGGAUAGUACUUAAAUUUAUUACUAAUAGGAUAAGACCCAAAGAGUGAGAAAUAAAAUAAUCUUAUAAACACCUCCC